CGUGAAGCUGUAAACAUGAGCUGGCAUUUUGUUUUAUUUUGUGUCAUAAACUGUGCUUUUCACAGCAGCGGGCCCUGGGGGAGUCUCGAGUAGCCCUGCGGGGCUGCAGCUGGGGGUGUGGCCCGGCUCCAUCCGCAGGCGACCUGGAGACCCCAGCUGCGGCGGCAGAAGGGCCAGAGCCUUCCGUCUGGGCUGCACGCUUUCAAGUUCACCCCCCCCACAACACGUUGAGUCAUCUCCACAAGCCAGAACCCCUCAGAUGGAGGUUCCUGGAGGUUCCGCUCUUCCUCCGCCGGCGGUUCCUCCGGGGGUGGGGACACCGACACCCACGUGUGGCUCGGGACACUUUGGGUGCGGUGCCCGAACCGCCCGCGGUGCGGCUGAUGCACGUGCUCGCAGGUGCACGGAGGCUACCGGGUGCUAAGCCCACGGUUGCGCUGUGUUUCGUGCUUGGAUCCCCCCCCCCCAUUAUGGUUUCUGGGGCUCUCGGUCCGCUCCGACCUAGAGGAAUACGCCCCCCCAAUCCAGGGGGGGUACCCUGAGCCCCGCUCACCCCCACUUACGGUCUCCCGGAGGAAACUGUGGGCCUGGGCUUCGUGUCUGCCUGGACUACAAGUACAUUCGUGUCUCAUGUGCGACUGGUGCACCCAAGGCUGGUGGCCUGUGAAGCAGGAAUGGGCCUAUCAUCAGUCCACAAGAGCGACUAAUAAAGCUGGACAACGUGUUUUGCCUGUUUGUGAGAAGCUCCGAGAGUAUCUUCCCAGAGCCGCCGAGCCAGGAGCCCAGUCAUCAGCCAGACUGCAUGACCGCCCCUUCAAGGUGGCCUCAGUCGCCUUUCUCGCCACAAGGAAGCGCGACCCCUUGACCCACCUUCGGAUGAGCCAACGGGUGUCCCACGCUUGCAGAAAAAAUGAAAUCAGCCCACAUAUAUCGAUUGCAAGCAAUCUUAGCAAAGCACUCUGCUAG
rnacentral:lncRNA from 1 species